UUGUGACAGAGGGGGAUGGAAAAGUUGGAAGCCUUUCCCUUUUGGUGUGUUGUUGCCAGGCAGUCCAGCAGGAGCAGGAAGAAUGUGUUGCUGUUCUGCUGGAACACGGUGCCGACCCCAAUCUGGCAGAUGCUGACGGCAACACUGCCCUUCACCUGGCUGUCCUCUCUAAAAACACAGCUGUAGCAGGGCUGUUACUGGAGCAUCAUGCCAAGAGUGAUGCUCAGAACCAGUGGGGAUUUACCCCCUUGAAACUUGCAGCCUUGCAACAGCACGAGGAGAUUCUGGAGUGCCUUGUGAACAAAGCAGCUGACAGGCCUGCUCAAGCCCAGGGGGAAAGGACUGCUCUUGUGGUUCCUGGAAGCCAUGAGGCUCACCUGGAGGAAGAUAAUCUGCGCUUCCAGGAGGAGUUGGACAGGGCUGAC